ACCCUUGUGCUAUAGGGUAUAUGACUCAGGAAUAUGGCAGAAUUGUUGCAUCAUUUCUGAUUUGCCUUGGAUUUUCUUUCUGUUCCCCUUGAGGAACAAUGAGGUCUUUCAAUCUUGGAAGAAAUUUAGGAAUUUCAAGUCCCUGCAAAGAAACAUGCUUGUUCUCUGUGUAGCUGAAAGAAGGCAGAACUUACUUAAAAGGCCUAUCACCUUAAAAUAGGGGACCUUUCUCUGGCCUGUGUGAGAGUAGCACUUUCUUAAUUGCAUUUAAAUAACUAUGUAGCAUGAUCGAAGUAUACUUUCACCAAAUCUGUUUCACUAAAAGUAUUUUUCAUGCUCUGCAGUAACUGAAGUGCUGCAGUUGAGUGAUGCUCUUCGAGAUGACAUCCUUCCUGAACUUGGUGUUCGAUUUGAAGAUCAUGAAGGACUUCCAACUGUGGUUAAAUUAGUGGAUAAAGACACGUUAUUGAAAGAACGAGAAGAAAAGAAAAAGGUUGAAGAAGAGAAAAAAAGGAAGAAAGAAGAAGCGGCCAGGAAAAAACAACAGCAGGAAGCAGCAAAACUGGAAAAAAUGAAGAUUCCACCACAUGAAAUGUUCAAAUCAGAACAUGACAAAUAUUCCAUGUUUGAUGAAAAUGGAUUUCCCACCCAUGAUACAGAAGGCAAAGAACUCAGCAAAGGACAAAUAAAGAAGCUAAAGAAACUUUAUGAAACCCAAGAAAAACUAUACAAGGAGUAUCUACAAAUGGUUCAGAAUGGAAUUGCAAACUGAAAACGAGGACUUUUUUUAGAAGGCAAGUGCUGGGUCACCAUUGAAGAAGUGAGCAUAUACUGAUGCUCAAAUUUGUGUUUACACUUUCUAUUAUGUGCAAAGAGAAAAUCCCAUUUACGUAGAUGAAUAAUGACAUCUGGAAAGUCAAUAAAAAUCCAUUCUUAAAAAAAAAAAAAGCCAAGCUCUAAGAAGUUUCUUUGCAGCAACAGUAGCAGGUUGAAUGGUUGCCAGUUCUAUCUGGGAAGUCAGCAAAUCCACAUAAGGAUUCUUGUUUAUUAUAGCUGCCCAGGUUUUGGUUAAUUUGUCCUGUAUACUCAUCUUUAAGACCCACUGUAGCUAACAUACUGGCAUAUGUCACAGUCAGCAAGAUUUACUGCUAAAUGGGAGUUGAGUAAUUUAUCCCACAGUAAGAACAGUAUUUUCCAGAUGACUUCAGUGUCUUUACAUAAGCAGGAAAAGUGAGAAGUUCCACUAUGAUACUUACUCUAGCUGCUGUUAUUAAAACUCGUAAGUAUUCCCAGAACACUUUGCACAGUAGAAGAUAACAGUCCCUUUGUUGUAAAAAGGAACAGAUCAUCAUUUUGCUCAACCCACCGCUGCAAUCAAGUGGGUAAGUACAAGGCAAAUGUAUCUGCAUUGAACAAACAGGUGGGAAAGAUUUGAAGGGCUAAUGGCAGAGGGUGGUGUGUUUUUGGAGCUAUCCCUCCAAGGAAACAGGAGUGCUGCCAAAGUACUGAUCAUCCAAAGUUCUGAUUACCUAUUCAGACCCAUGGGGAAUUAACAGAGGAUUUCUAACCAAGAUACGGUUUGUGGAUUUGUUUGCAAUUAGUAAAUACAGCUAUACAUUGCUCUUAACCUGACAAUUUAACCCUGAGUUAAUCUUUCUGAUGUAGUAUGGUGACAUCACGUCUGCAAGGACAGUUUCCUGUUGCCUAAGGAUGCAUUUCACUUACAAUAGGUACCAAAUGAACUGAAGUUCAUGAAAACCUAAAAAAGUCACCUACUUCACAACUACAUGCAACAACAAAGUGUCCGAUAUGCAGCACUAUAUUCAACAAGUAUUCUUAAGCCUCAAGGUGACUUGCAGAAGGUCAUACUGUGAUACCUCUGUUCUCUCAAUUCUUGGGUUCAUGCUAUAGCCAUUAGGUUAUGUUCCUUUCCUCAAUGAAUAGUUACACAUCCUUGCUUUAUAUUUUUAUAUUUGUCUUCCUCCUGAGGAAUUGAUGUGUUUGGAGUAACGGAAAAGUCUAGUAGGUUGUUUUUCUAGUUUGUCUGUAUUUGCCUUUGAAAACAUACAUAAUGUUAAGGUCAGUAAAGCAUAUGCAUCUUGAAUGCAGAAAAUAAAAUCUGUUGUAAAGUA